rnacentral:rRNA from 1 species
CCGGCAAACGGGUGCGGAACACGUACGCAACUUUCCUUCAAGCGGGGAAUAGCCCAGGGAAACUUGGAUUAAUACCCCAUAAUUUUAUGAAGUGGCAUCACUUUAUAAGUAAAGCUCCGGCACUUGAAGAUGGGCGUGCGGCUGAUUAGGUAGUUGGCGGGGUAACGGCCCACCAAGCCUACGAUCAGUAACUGGUGUGAGAGCACGACCAGUCACACGGGCACUGAGACACGGGCCCG